GAAAAUACUUUUUCAUUGGCUUUUGGAAACAAAUUGAAAAAUAAAACAAAACGUGACCAAAAAUGUGGGUGUUCGGUUACGGGUCACUUGUAUGGAAAGUUGAUUUCAAAUACGAGUGCAAACUUGUAGGUUAUUUAAAAGGUUACCUUAGAAGGUUUUAUCAGCAUAGUAUUGAUCACAGAGGAGUUCCUGAAAAGCCUGGCAGAGUAGUUACUCUUAUACCUAGCAAUGAUCCAGACAGCUCAGUUUGGGGUGUAGCGUACAAAAUAAACGAAGAAGACAUAGAACAAGUGACAACACACUUGGAUUAUAGAGAGAAGAAUGGAUACUCAAAGAAAACUGUUACAUUCCAUCCAAAAGACCCAAGUUGGCAGCCUUUUGAGCUAACAUUGUAUGUUGCUAUGAAGGAUAAUGAGUCUUAUGCAGGUGCAGCGUCAAUAGGAGACCUAGCAAAGCAAGUGUUAAGUUGCAGUGGCCCGAGUGGCAGCAACAAGGAGUAUGUCUACAACCUAGCAGAGGCGAUGAGGCAGCUGGCUCCAGGAGUUGAAGAUGAGCAUCUGUUCUCUCUCGAAGCUGCUGUCAGGAAACUAGACCCUGAUAUGAGGAAAAAUAGUUGAUAAAACCUAUUACAAAGUACUAGCUAAUAUUCUGCAUGUUUGCAAUAUGACUUACCCAGAUAACUUGUAUUAUGAGGAAAAGUUGGGAGGAGGGGAGAAGUGAUGAUUGAAAAAAAUGUGAUGAAAAAAUCAUAUCUCCUAAACUACUAAAAAUCGCUGAACUUGAAUUUAGAGGUCAUUUGGAUACCACUUAAUAUAAGGUAUUUUUUUUACUUUUGGACUUCAAUUCCAACGUAAUGGGCAAAACAACUCCAAAAUUAAACAGAGCCAUGAUAUAUGUUAUCAAAUGAAACCACAACAUUUUAGUAACAUUUAUUAAUAAAAAAUAAUUUCGCUCAAAUAGGUAACCACUAGCAAACACUAUCAUACAAUUAUAAAAUUAGCCAUUUAAAAAUAUUUACAUUAAUAUUACGCCUUUUAAUUAUUAUUAUUGUUUAUUAUUAAAUAAAAAAACCACCUUACGAUCA